rnacentral:lncRNA from 1 species
ACGCGGGUGCGGAUGGGAGCUUAGGCUCGUGGUGGCUGUAAGGCGUGAUUGGUUGUGGUAUGUCAGGUGGCAUGACUGGCCAAUGGAACGGGGUUUUGGACAGAAAGAUCUAGAUGCAAGCUCAGCGUUUUGAACUAGAAACUUCUGGGGAGUGACGUCAGCGUCUGGGUCUUUGGUUGUGAUUGGUUGUGGUAUGUCAGGUGGCAUGACUGGCCAAUGGAAGGGGAUUUUGGACAGAAAGAUCUAGAUGCAAGCUCAGCGUUGGGCUAGAAACUUCUGGGGAGUGACAUCAGCGUCUGGGUUCUUUCGCACGCAACUUUUCUAGAGUAAAGUUGACUAAAGUCAGCUCAAAGCUGUCUAAAGUCUUCACUGCAAUCCUGCCUGAGAAGUGUGUCGACUUAACAGUUGAUUUCAGAGGUGCGUUGACCCGCUCUAUAACGGAGUAUAGUGCUUCAGUACGGCAGCCGUUUGAUGAAACCGGUAAAAGCUGCAUCUGGUGAAGGCGUGAUUGGCUGUGGUAUGUCACGUGACAUGACUGGCCAAUGGAACGGGGCUUUGGACAGAAAGAUCUAGAUGCAAGCUCAGCAGUUUGAGCUAGAAACACGGCAAGACCGGAGCAAGAACGCCACUAGUGAGUUUGUGGUAAACAAGACAGUGCCAGAGUCUCUGCACUGGAGAGCUGCAGUUGAGUCGCUUCGACCCAGAGGGACGAAAGAGCAGGGGUGACACACGGCAAGACCGGAGCAAGAACGCCACGAGUGAGUCUGUGGUAAACAACUAAACAAGACAGUGCCAGGGUCUCUGCGCUGGGGACAGAGAAGCCGCUUUAACUGACCGUGACCCAAACAGUUCUGGGACGUCGAACAGAGGAGGCCUCCACUUGCACGUGACUUUUGGUAACGAGAUAAGUGAUCAAAAACCUCUCGCGUGGAUGGUACAGAUGCAAAGAAUUGGUUGAAAAGAAUCAUACGGCGAAUCUCGACCGACAAGGUUUUAUAACUGUUAAGGACAAAGAGGAGAAAAGUGUGCUUUCAACGGGCUUUCAAAGGUGCAGACCAUGAUAUGCAAAGCUGUACAGAAGAACAAUGGGUGCAUCAAGGCUUCAGAUAACAUCAUCGAAAGAAGCAGCAACAGAAAGAGUCAACCUCCGUAUACCAAACAACUGUAUACCUCGCCCCCACCCCUGCAACCAGUUCAUCACCUAUUUUCUGAUGGAAAAAGGAGACUUACAACAAACUGAAAUUAAAAACUGACAUUGUUAUUAUCCUCAUCUUCAAUUAAGGCCAGGCACCUGAGAAGCUGUACUGAAGAACAAUGGGUGCAUCAAGGCUUCAGAUAACAUCAUCGAAAGAAGCAGCAACAGAAAGAGUCAACCUCCGUAUACCAAACAACUGUAUACCUCGCCCCCACCCCUGCAACCAGUUCAUCACCUAUUUUCUGAUGGAAAAAGGAGACUUACAACAAACUGAAAUUAAAAACUGACAUUGUUAUUAUCCUCAUCUUCAAUUAAGGCCAGGCACCUGAGGUAAAAAAAAUUUUGUUUUUGUUUUUAUGGAAUAGCACAGAUUUUUGUAGUCACCUUAAUUUAUAAAACAUUUGGUCUCCACAUCUGUACUACACUAGUUGCCCUUCAUAAUUCGCAAAAAACGCACUCUUCUUUCAUAAGGUCUUUUGAUACUUAUCUCUUUCUUUAACCAGAGGCUUGAUCUUCUAGUAUUGUGCAUAGCUCUAUUUCUCUCUCUCUCCUCUUUUGAGUGUGAGAGAGAGACAUAAACUGACUUUUGUAUUACACCAAAGAAUGGCUUUCAGGUCUUGCAAUUAUUAUUACUUAGAUUUCUAGAAAACUUGGAACAUUAACAUUAACGGUGCCUGUUAUCAGCACCUUAAAGAGAUUUUUUAAGUUAUCUAAAUACGCCAGAUAUGCAUCAAAAUUAACUCUUUGAUUGUUUAUUACUUGAAUAGUAAUACAUGUAUCUCAGAAAAUAGACAAGACCAAAGAUUCAUAAAUAAUACCUCUUUCCUACCGUACACGAGAAAAACUAACGCAUUGAUGGCUAUCACUAAGGUCCUUAAAAAUGCAUUAAAGGUCCUCCUCAUCAGGUCCUUACCUGGCA